rnacentral:rRNA from 1 species
CAGCCGCCGCGGUAAUACGAAGGGGGCUAGCGUUGCUCGGAUUUACUGGGCGUAAAGGGCGCGUAGGCGGACAGUUAAGUUGGGGGUGAAAGCCCGGGGCUCAACCUCGGAAUUGCCUUCAAUACUGGCUGUCUUGAGUGUGAGAGAGGUGUGUGGAACUCCGAGUGUAGAGGUGAAACUCGUAGAUAUUCGGAAGAACACCAGUGGCGAAGGCGACACACUGGCUCACUACUGACGCUGAGGCGCGAAAGCGUGGGGAGCAAACAGGAUUAGAGACCCCGGUAGUCCCUGUCUCUUAUAU